AAUUUUCAUGGACAAAUUGCCGUAAAACUUCGAAUUGUCUGUUGGUAUUUGCUUUUGAAGAUACUUAUAUUACCAAACGGAGAACUUAUUAGGGCCAUUAAUUUCUAGUUAUAUGGGAGAAAAUGCGCGACUUACAUAAGACGCAAACACACUUGUAUAAAUGGUCUAAUUGUAGACCAGUCUAAACCCUAAUUGUUCUUAUGUAAGUCGCAAUUAAUUGGAUUUAUGAAAUAAAUGAUAUUAAUAACGAGCUGAGUUGUUG